ACAGCAAUGUGCAGGCACAAGGGGAAGCCAUCUACAAGCCAAGGAGAGAGGCUUCACGAGAAACCAACCCUCCUGACACCCUGAUCUUGGACAUCUACUCUCCAGAAGUGUGAGAAAAUAAAUUUCUGUUGUUUAAACAACUCGGUCUGGGGUGACUUAUGGCAGCCCUCACAAAAUAAUUCAGCUGAUCACAUCAGCACCCUCUGCCUAUCAUGCAGCAGAAUUCCAGAGUUGAAGUGAAGCAGGUAUUCGGCCUAACCCACAUGGUUUGUGCAAGCAGUCUAGGCACAGUAAGCCACGCUUACCAGUUACCGAUGGUGGGAACACUCCCCAAAUUCAAGUUCGCAGAUGCAAAUCAAGAGCCAACCAUGCAAGCUGGCCCUUCUAAGGACAGCUGUCUCAGGCCCGCUGUGUUAACUCUUUUCUAUAUGUGCACACACACACACACACACACACACACACACACACACACAGUGACUUCCAUGAGAACAAGGGAUGCCCUUCACUCUCUAGCACCUCUAUAUCUUUUCUAGCCUAGACAAUGCCUGAGGGAUUAUGAGUGUGGGCUGGGACAAUGACAUCACAGACCGUCAACCCACAGCCUGGUCCUGGGAGAAGACCUAUUCUUUCUUCAGAACAGCCAUGGGAAUCAGGCUUCUCUGUAGUGUGGCCUUUUGCUUCCUGGGAGUAGGCCUCGUGGAAGUGAAAGUAACCCAGAACCCGAGAUAUCUAGUCAAAAGGAUAGGAGAGAAAGUUUCUCUGGAAUGUGCCCAGGAUAUGGACCAUGAAAGAAUGUUCUGGUACCGACAAGACCCAGGUCUGGGGCUACAGCUGAUCUAUUUCUCAUAUGAUAUUAAAAACGAUGAAAAGGGAGAUGUUCCUGAUGGGUACAGUGUCUCUAGAGAGAAGAAGAAGCAGUUCAUCCUGAUUCUGGGGUCUGCCCGCACCAACCAGACAUCUGUGUAUCUCUGUGCCAGCAACCCACCCACAGCGCAGCACGCCACAUCCUCUCUGCACAAAAAGAGCAGACAUUGGAAAGAAGAGCCCCUAACUCAGGACUGAUGCUGGCUCCAACGGCACAUUCAUGAUCAAUAGAAAAAAGGGACUUCUAAAGAGAAACUAGCUCCAUAAGCACAUUUCUUUGCAAGGAGAAAAUGAGGUAUUAUUUCUCACCCCUUUACAAGUCAGGGACUGUUCUAGAUUUAGUCCUCCCAAUCCAAUGUGUUGUAAAUUUCCGAGUCCCAACAAGGAGGAGAAGUCCUCUUGCAUAUUCACACUUAGCCCGGUUCUACCAUUUCUUUAAUUAAUGUUACCUUGUCUCUCUUGCUGUGCAUUUUCUACUUUGCUUAGUGUUUUCCUCUUGGUUGAUAUUUCACUAGAGGACAUUAACAUAUUCCAGAUUCUUUAGAUGAUUCUUACUGUCCAUGUGCUGAUUCAAGAGAAAGUUUAUGGAAUUUGAAUUCCGUUAUUCAAUUUAGAAAGAGAAAAACUGAUUAAAACAAAUCUUCCUCCAGGUUCUCUGAUCAAUCUUAUUUUGCUGGGAAAAAUUCUGAUCACAGAAGGUUCAAACCACGCUGCAGAAGCUGGAGGAAUUAGGCUAUAACUAUACUCACUAUCUUCUGGAAAAAGUGUGUAUUUGUCUGUUUUUAAGAAUAAAACACAUACUCUUCUGCCAGUAAAAAUUAACGGUGCUUUGGAAAUACAAGUAAAUGUAAAGGGUAUUAGAAAUCCCAAACUGCAGAGCACUUACACAAUUAUUAUUGGCAAGACAAAACAGGCAUGUGAAAACGUAUUUUGAUUCAGUGCUAAAUUUUUAAGUGGAAGAAGUCAGAGAAAAAAGUUAAAUCAAUAUGUAUCACAAUAUUCAAGAUUAUGUUUGUAUGAGAUAGGACUUGAGCUGAUUUUGAAUACAAGUAAAUGAGGGAAGAGAAACUACUGAAAGGAAGAAAUACCCUGCAAUGUUUCUGUGAGAGAUUCUACAGGAAUGAAGAGGAAGAUUCUUUCCCUGAGAAAAGGCAGGAAUCACAAUUCUCCUGGCUGAGGUCAACAUUCAGAACAGAGAAAGCACAUCUUCCUAAAAUAUGAUUAAAUCCUUUCUCUUUUGCCCCAAGGAUACAAGCUAGCGGUGCUUCAGGCUGCAGCGUUUACCAUGAGAUAACAUACAAGAUUUGAUAGAAGAAAUUCUUUCACCACCUUCUAAAAAUUACAGUCCUUAACAACUACAUCCUGUUCAAGAAGGAGAAUUCUGAGCACUUGAUUAGCCAUACAAGCUUCAGACUGACAUUGAUUAAAAGGGUGCUGAAAAAACAUCACGACCCAGGACAGCAACGUCUCUGAGGUCGUCCAUGCUCUGAUGAUGUCACACGUCUUUGCCUGUCUGGAAGAGACUUCCCCAAAAGCAUUACCACCAACAUCAAAGAAACAAAACACAACGGGUCAUUGCAACUUUUGCUGCUUGCCCGUGACAAGGAUGGCAAGAAGAUCUGUAGAGAAAGGCAAUGUUUUCGUGUGGAAUGUGAUGUUCCGAUUUCUGUUGUUCUGUGCUUUGCAAUUUUCCCCCAUAAAAAAUUAUCGAAUACUGAUUAUUAUAUAUAUUUAUGUUACAUUAGGAUUGGAGACAGUUCUGUUCAGAAAUAACUCCAAGAACAGUUUUUAUAUUUUAUUUUCAUCUUGAUAAUCAGUCAAAUUUGCUUCAGCCUCAAAGAGCAUGUUUAUGUCAAACUAAAUGAAUGCUGGCA